CGAACUAGAAAUUCAUAUCUGCAGGCAAAUGUUCCAUAAUAAACAUAGCAUAUAAGUAUCUCCAUAUAACAACAAAAUAUCAAAAUUUUAUCACUACAUCCAAAAGGUUAAUGUUCUAACAACUUAGAAUUGUCUACAAAAAUCAAACUCUAUAAUUUAAAUUCUACAUUCCAAAGUCAUUAAUAUUACUCAUUGACAUUUGUACCAUCAUUUGAAUUGCUUCCACGAGUUCCAUUACCAACAGAAGGAUCAUCUUCAUCUAAAUCCAUUAAAUCCAAAUCUAUAUUUGCAUGUUUAGCAAAUACGGCAAACAUUUUAUUUGAAUAUCUAUUUGAUUUAGAUGUUGAGCCACGGGUGAGGAUGCGUCCAUCCAAACUAAGUCCAUAUACUAUACCCUUUGCAUUUCUUCCUCCAACAACUCAAUCAUUAGUGUAUCAUAAUCAAUUGGCUUCAGUUGAGUAGCAGCACUCUCAUUAUUACAAGACUCAGAAGGUUGAGGUUGAGACUCAACUUGUGAACAUAGAUUUACAAAGUUAUCCUAGGAAAAAAAUAAACAAAGAUAAACAUGUAAUGAAGUUAGAGACGCAUAACAAACAGAUAACAAAAAGAUAAGUAAUGCCCCAAAAGUACAAUAAACAUACACAUUAUAUACAAGACAAGAAAAGGGAACCAUACAAGCCUCCUCAAUCAAUAAUUACCCCAAGGCCAAAACAAAGACCACAACUCUACAAAUACAUCACAAUUGGUAAAACUAAGAUGGCAGCUUUAUCAAAGGCAUAUAUACGUGUUAAAGGCAUCUGAGAUAUGUUCAAUUGAAAGGUCUCACUUAAGCAUAAAAACCCCUUAGUAAAAUAAUUUUCAAGGAAACCAUUAUGUACAGGUAAUAACACUUUCUUCCUAGAUACACAUAAACAGGGGAACAAGUUUUAUUCAUCAAUCGACACUCAUGAAACAAACAAUUUUAUUCACCAAUUGACACUCGUGCAAGAACAGCAAGAACGGAAACACGGGACCAACUGUCAAAGCUAUCUCUAGACAUACAUGUGCAGCAAUCUUUUAUUCAUGAAACAAACAAUAUUAUCACAAGUAAAAUAUAGCUUACCAAUUCAAGUUCAUGUUUUAAUUGAUUCUUUGACCCUUGGGUGUGCAAUGAACCUCCAUCCCUGGACAGCAAAAAAUGCAGGCUUACAGCAGAUAGCAAAAAACCAGAAAAACAGGGCUAAAGCAGCAAAAACACAAAUAGACCAUCACUAAUUAGCUAACUAUAUAUGUCUCAUUCAUGUUAGUUCCCAUUCAUUAGUUCGUGAUUCAUAUGGAAUGGGAAUUAACAUCAAGCUAAUUACACUAAUUAGCUAACUAUAUGUUAAUUUCUCUUGGUUGGUUUUGGAUUAACAUGGAAAUUACAUUAAUUAGCUAACUCUAUAAAACAAAUGCUCUCUAGUCCAAAUCUCUUAACCACAAUGGUUUGCCAUCUACCUAUCCUUAAAAUCAUGCCCUAACACAACCAUUACUACAUGAGAAUUAUAUAAUCCAUUGUAUUGUGAACCUAAUUUCAAUUAAAAAUAUAUCUAAUCAGUUAUGAAACAGAAAGAAUCAUAUCAAAGGGAAAUAUAUUGAAUAAAAUCGUCAUAUAAAUUUAACAAACAAUCAAAUCCCAAAAUUGAAAUAGCAAGACAAGAGUUUCAAUAUAUAUAAACAAAUCUAAACAUCAACAUGACAUAAUAAUCAAGGAAGUGUGAACUACAUAUGCAUAUAAAGUGGGUAAAUAAGACUGAAUAAUAGAGUAAAAAUAACAAUGUGAAAAUGAUAACUAAAAAGAUAUUUACAUAGUCAAGGAUAACGAUGUGAGUUGUGAACUAACUAAAAGUGCCAAAUUAUUACUUCAACAGAUAAAGGGGUCGAUAAAUUUCAUGAAAUGGAGAAGACUGAGAAAGUGUCGGAGAAAAGGGGGUGAGAAAUUUCAUACCGAUUGAAAAGAGACGGUGGUAACUGGUGUUGAUAUGAGACGAGACGAGAGAGAGACGGUGGUGAAGAGAAGAGACGGUGGUGACUGUGUUGAGAGGAGAGACGAGAGAGACGGUGAUGCGGUGGUGACUGUGGUUAGGGUUCUUUCAUCUUGUGCGAUUUCUUUCUCUGCUUUUGAUAGUGCGUUAGUUCUUUCAAUUGAUUUUAGGGAUUUGCCUCAAAAGUCAAAAAUAUUAAACUUAAU
rnacentral:lncRNA from 1 species